GGGAAUAGUUCAGUUGGUAGAACGUUGGUCUCCAAAACCAAAUGUCGUGGGUUCAAAUCCUGCUUCCC
rnacentral:tRNA from 1 species